UACGCGCAGAACCGCCGGAGCGACCUGCACCACGCCAGGCAGACCGCGGGGGUUGUGGACUCACCGCGGUACCGCGCGGUAAGGGCAACGCGGCGCGAAGCUCAGCUUCGUUCUCAGCAUCCUUUCUCUGCUGCUGAGUAUGAUGGACGGUUCAACUUCAGCCGCUAUGGGCGGUAACGAGACCAAGACAGCCGCCACCGGUAACAACGACAGUAUUGAGUCGUGGUGGCCUUGUAGUGGAUGAAGGAGGCCGGCGACACCCUGUGCGGCGGGUUCGGGAAGUGGCAGUAGGGCGUGAUGAUGCGGGGGUUGUGUAGGUACCGGCUCGACACGCGCGAGGUGCCGACCGCGCGGGCGCGGAGGGGAGCGGCCCAGAAGCUGCGGCAGGAGAAGUUGUUGCUCGACCUGUAGGACCUCUAGGCGAUGGCGCUCGACGAGGGGAUGCAGGUGUUCGACCAGUAGGACCUCCGGUUGCGGUGGAAGUGGCCGUAGCGGUUCGGCGAGAGGAAGCGGCUCUUGGACCUCGCGAAACGCAAGCGCUCCAGGUUCUAGCAGAUGCUGUCCGAGGGGUAGCGGUGUGGCUCUGGCCCCAGAGCAGCGGCCCUUCUCGGUAAGCUGCACCUCCGGGCCGUGGCCGCGCGCGACUUGCGCGGCGACGCCGCCAGCCCGCAGCGCCCGCCCCUGCACCACUAGUACCGCCUGCGCCUGCUCUAGGGCUCGGGCCUCUGCCACGUCGACGACGCCACCACGCUGCCCCACGGCCGCCACUACGUGGACGUCGACCUCUUGAUGCAGAUGAGGAAGCUCAAGGGGCACCUGGUCCCUUCGACCUCCCGCUGCCGCGUGUAGAAGUCGCUCGCGUGCCGGGUGCGCCUGGCCCACGCCGCCGUCUCGAAGGAGCUGGGCCGCUCCUAGGUCGCCCAGCAGACGCGGCCGCGGCUCGACAAGCUGUACGAGGGGCUCCUCAUGUGGAAGUCCCUAGAGAAGUUCUUCUACCCCGGUUAUGGGUCCAGCCGCAGCCGGUACGUGGACGGAAGGAUAAACUAGUUCUUGCGUGCGUCCAAGUCGAAGAACGAAGGACCACCUACGAACUCUAGUCCAAUU
rnacentral:rRNA from 1 species